AGUCUGAUGGAGCACGCCGCGUGAGUGAAGAAGGUUUUCGGAUCGUAAAACUCUGUUGUUGGAGAAGAAUGUAUCUGAUAGUAACUGAUCAGGUAGUGACGGUAUCCAACCAGAAAGCCACGGCUAACUACGUGCCAGCAGCCGCGGUAAUACGUAGGUGGCAAGCGUUGUCCGGAUUUAUUGGGCGUAAAGCGAGCGCAGGCGGUUUCUUAAGUCUGAUGUGAAAGCCUUCGGCUCAACCGAAGAAGUGCAUCGGAAACUGGGAAACUUGAGUGCAGAAGAGGACAGUGGAACUCCAUGUGUAGCGGUGAAAUGCGUAGAUAUAUGGAAGAACACCAGUGGCGAAGGCGGCUGUCUGGUCUGUAACUGACGCUGAGGCUCGAAAGCAUGGGUAGCAAACAGGAUUAGAUACCCUGGUAGUCCAUGCCGUAAACGAUGAGUGCUAGGUGUUGGAGGGUUUCCGCCCUUCAGUGCCGCAGCUAACGCAUUAAGCACUCCGCCUGGGGAGUACGACCGCAAGGUUGAAACUCAAAGGAAUUGACGGGGGCCCGCACAAGCGGUGGAGCAUGUGGUUUAAUUCGAAGCAACGCGAAGAACCUUACCAGGUCUUGACAUCCUUUGACCACUCUAGAGAUAGAGCUUUCCCUUCGGGGACAAAGUGACAGGUGGUGCAUGGUUGUCGUCAGCUCGUGUCGUGAGAUGUUGGGUUAAGUCCCGCAACGAGCGCAACCCUUAUUACUAGUUUGCCAGCAUUUAGUUGGGCACUCUAGUGAGACUGCCGGUGACAAACCGGAGGAAGGUGGGGACGACGUCAAAUCAUCAUGCCCCUUAUGACCUGGGCUACACACGUGCUACAAUGGAUGGGUACAACGAAG
rnacentral:rRNA from 2 species